UACGUAGGGUGCAAGCGUUGUCCGGAAUUAUUGGGCGUAAAGAGCUCGUAGGCGGCUUGUCGCGUCGACUGUGAAAACCUGGGGCUCAACUCCGGAUCUGCGGUGGGUACGGGCAGACUAGAGUGAUGUAGGGGAGACUGGAAUUCCUGGUGUAGCGGUGAAAUGCGCAGAUAUCAGGAGGAACACCGAUGGCGAAGGCAGGUCUCUGGGCAUUAACUGACGCUGAGGAGCGAAAGCAUGGGGAGCGAACAGG
rnacentral:rRNA from 1 species